GCUACCAUAACAUGUGGUGUGGCUCCCGUCUCGUGGUUAACUUACUCAGCUCUGAAACACCAAAGCUCUUAACCCCUUCCCCUUCCUCUCUCUCUCUCUCGAUCGACAUAAAUCUUUCUAUUUUUCAAGUUUCUGUUCGCUGCCUCUUUGUUACAUUGGUAAGCAAAGCUAUCUUUCCUUCUUUCUUCUAAUAGAUAUAAGGUACAAUUUGAGUCUCCUUUUAUUGAAAUUCAACCUUUAGUUUGAUUACUUGCAUACCCACUUCUUACAAAAUUGUAAAAACCAUAUCUUUUUUUUUUCUUAUACUCUUAUUAGAGUAGCCAGUAUCUUUGUUAGUUGGUUUAGAGGUUUGUUCAUUAGUCUUAAAUAGUCACUGAGAAAUAGCAAAGAAAUCUUUUUGUUUCUCUCUCUCUCUCUCUCUUCGUGUGUGUGAUUUCAUGGCUUCUUCAUUGAUCAAUGGAGCUCAGAAUCUCAAGCUCAUUAGUGGCAUAACCAUAACUCCAACUGGGUUUGGUUUUGUUGGGUCAACUUUCCAGGAUAGGCGCUUGCCCAAUAAGAAGGGCUUAGUGUCUUUUGGUAGGAAUUACAAGGCUGGAACUUUAACACCCAGAUGCAGUAUAUCAUCCUUAAGGCCAGCUUCCCAGCCUAGGUUUAUACAGCACAAAAAAGAGGCAUUUUGGUUCUAUAGGUUCUUGUCUAUAGUAUAUGAUCAUGUCAUAAACCCUAUUCACUGGACUGAGGAUAUGCGGGACGAGGCGCUUGAGCCUGCUGAUCUCUUUGAUCGGAAUAUGAUAGUGGUAGAUGUAGGUGGUGGAACUGGGUUUACCACUCUUGGUAUAGUUAAGCAUGUGGAUGCCAAAAAUAUUACAAUUCUUGACCAGUCCCCACACCAGCUUGCCAAGGCGAAGCAGAAGGAGCCCUUGAAGGAAUGCAAGAUAGUUGAGGGUGAUGCAGAGGACCUUCCGUUCCCAACUGAUUAUGCGGAUCGAUAUGUAUCCGCUGGGAGUAUCGAGUAUUGGCCGGAUCCACAGCGUGGAAUCAAGGAGGCAUACAGGGUACUGAAGAUAAGGGGGAAAGCCUGUCUUAUAGGUCCUGUUUACCCAACCUUUUGGUUGUCUCGUUUCUUUGCAGACGUGUGGAUGCUCUUUCCAAAGGAGGAAGAGUACAUUGAAUGGUUUCAGAAGGCUGGUUUCAAAGAUGUUAAACUAAAAAGGAUUGGUCCAAAAUGGUACCGUGGCGUCCGUAGGCAUGGCCUGAUCAUGGGUUGCUCUGUAACAGGUGUGAAACCCUUUUCUGGAGACUCUCCCCUACAGCUUGGUCCAAAGGCGGAGGAUAUAAAGAAACCUGUGAAUCCAUUUGUUUUCCUUUUCCAGCUCAUUCUUGGUGCGAUAGCUGGAGCUUACUUUAUACUGGUUCCAAUUUACAUGUGGAUCAAAGAUCAAAUUGUUCCAAAAGGGAUGCCUAUCUAAUAUGGGAGGAAGCAAUGGAAAAUAGUUAUCAUUUUCUCAUUUCAUCAAGUGAAUAUUAGACAGCUUGUGAUGGUUAGUGUGUCCUCUGCUCAAGAUAAACCUGUUAAUAGCAAACCAGAUGAGGUAUAUAGUUGCUUCGGGUGGACAAAUUUGCCUCAGGGCUUAGUGCUGUUUGGGGCUACAAGUCUACAACUCCAAUAAGAUAGACUUUCACUUUUAAGGGUAAUCAUGGUCUUGGGGAUUUUUAAAUACACUUAUGGAAGGAUUAGCUGUGAAGAAACAGAGAGGUAAUGUAAUGAAGUUAACAAUUUCAUUGACAGUGAGCACUUCUGGGGUCUGGUGAAUUUAACCAGCAUCAUGUUCUAAGAAAUUCAAAACUGGUAUUAAAAAUGGUUCAACUAAUUUGGGUAUG